AUCCUGGCUUAGGAUGAACGCUAGCGGCAGGCUUAACACAUGCAAGUCGAGGGGCAACGCGAGUAGCAAUACUUGGCGGCGACCGGCGCAAGGGUGCGUAACGCGUGAGCAACAUGCCCGUAUCAGGGGGAUAAUCCAGGGAAACUUGGUCUAAUACCCCAUAGUAAUUUUGUAAGGCAUCUUAUAAGAUUUAAAGCUUUGGUGGAUACGGAUUGGCUCGCGUGACAUUAGCUGGAUGGUAAGGUAACGGCUUACCAUGGCUAUGAUGUCUAGGGGUUCUGAGAGGAAGGUCCCCCACACUGGAACUGAGACACGGUCCAGACUCCUACGGGAGGCAGCAGUGAGGAAUAUUGGACAAUGGAUGGAAAUCUGAUCCAGCCAUGCCGCGUGAAGGAAGAAGGUCCCUAUGGAUUGUAAACUUCUUUUGUAUGGGAGCAAUAAGGCCUACGAGUAGGCUGAUGAGAGUACCAUACGAAUAAGCACCGGCUAACUCCGUGCCAGCAGCUGC
rnacentral:rRNA from 1 species